rnacentral:rRNA from 1 species
AGAGUUUGAUCCUGGCUCAGAUUGAACGCUGGCGGCAGGCCUAACACAUGCAAGUCGGACGGUAGCACAGAGAGCUUGCUCUUGGGUGACGAGUGGCGGACGGGUGAGUAAUGUCUGGGGAUCUGCCCGAUAGAGGGGGAUAACCACUGGAAACGGUGGCUAAUACCGCAUAACGUCGCAAGACCAAAGAGGGGGACCUUCGGGCCUCUCACUAUCGGAUGAACCCAGAUGGGAUUAGCUAGUAGGCGGGGUAAUGGCCCACCUAGGCGACGAUCCCUAGCUGGUCUGAGAGGAUGACCAGCCACACUGGAACUGAGACACGGUCCAGACUCCUACGGGAGGCAGCAGUGGGGAAUAUUGCACAAUGGGCGCAAGCCUGAUGCAGCCAUGCCGCGUGUAUGAAGAAGGCCUUCGGGUUGUAAAGUACUUUCAGCGGGGAGGAAGGCGAUGUGGUUAAUAACCGCAUCGAUUGACGUUACCCGCAGAAGAAGCACCGGCUAACUCCGUGCCAGCAGCCGCGGUAAUACGGAGGGUGCAAGCGUUAAUCGGAAUUACUGGGCGUAAAGCGCACGCAGGCGGUCUGUUAAGUCAGAUGUGAAAUCCCCGGGCUUAACCUGGGAACUGCAUUUGAAACUGGCAGGCUUGAGUCUUGUAGAGGGGGGUAGAAUUCCAGGUGUAGCGGUGAAAUGCGUAGAGAUCUGGAGGAAUACCGGUGGCGAAGGCGGCCCCCUGGACAAAAGACUGACGCUCAGGUGCGAAAGCGUGGGGAGCAAACAGGAUUUAGAUACCCUGGUAGUCCACGCCGUAAACGAUGUCGACUUGGAGGUUGUUCCCUUGAGGAGUGGCUUCCGGAGCUAACGCGUUAAGUCGACCGCCUGGGGAGUACGGCCGCAAGGUUAAAACUCAAAUGAAUUGACGGGGGCCCGCACAAGCGGUGGAGCAUGUGGUUUAAUUCGAUGCAACGCGAAGAACCUUACCUACUCUUGACAUCCAGAGAACUUUCCAGAGAUGGAUUGGUGCCUUCGGGAACUCUGAGACAGGUGCUGCAUGGCUGUCGUCAGCUCGUGUUGUGAAAUGUUGGGUUAAGUCCCGCAACGAGCGCAACCCUUAUCCUUUGUUGCCAGCGCGUGAUGGCGGGAACUCAAAGGAGACUGCCGGUGAUAAACCGGAGGAAGGUGGGGAUGACGUCAAGUCAUCAUGGCCCUUACGAGUAGGGCUACACACGUGCUACAAUGGCGCAUACAAAGAGAAGCGACCUCGCGAGAGCAAGCGGACCUCACAAAGUGCGUCGUAGUCCGGAUCGGAGUCUGCAACUCGACUCCGUGAAGUCGGAAUCGCUAGUAAUCGUGGAUCAGAAUGCCACGGUGAAUACGUUCCCGGGCCUUGUACACACCGCCCGUCACACCAUGGGAGUGGGUUGCAAAAGAAGUAGGUAGCUUAACCUUCGGGAGGGCGCUUACCACUUUGUGAUUCAUGACUGGGGUGAAGUCGUAACAAGGUA